rnacentral:lncRNA from 1 species
UGAGCUUUCGAGCUUUCGUGAGGCUUUGAGUGAGAAGCCCUCUAUAUCAUAUCAGUGCUUUGUGCUUUCAGUUUCAGCCAACUCGUUACAGCGUGCCGUCAGUUGAAGCUGAAGCCGCAACGCUGUUACAGCCGAAGUGCAUGCCGCAUGCAUGUAUCCGUGAGCGAGGUCGCGUCCAGCUCCGCGAUGUAAAACGAAAUUCGACCCGUGCGCUUCAUCCAAAUUUUUUUCUCUUUCACUCGCUUAAUUAUGCAAAUUAUAUGGUUGCAUUCCAUCCAUCAUUUUUCUUCUAGCCAAGAGCCCUUUGCUUGUAUCACUUAAAAUACGCAGUGUCAUCCUGUAAAACACGUUAGUGUCAGUGCACCAUGUCCGGCGAUGCCCAUGUGCGGAAAAGAGGCGCUGACAAACGUCGCAAGAAAGUUGAUGACUCAACAGAGGACACAGUGCCCCUUUUAAUACCUGCUCCCAGCCCUACAAAUGAAGAAAACAUACAUGUCCACAAAGAUGCACAUCUUGGAGGGAACAUUUGCUCAAAAAUUGUUUUCUUUGGCUUGUUUGGCACCCUCGCUAUCCUUGUUGGACUCCUCAUCAUAGAAUUUCACGGAUCUGGAGAUGUUGAGUCUGCUGCUGAUUCACCAUGGUCUAUUAUGUUGGAAGGCUGGGUUGACGAGGCGCAUGACAAUCAUGAACAUGAGGAAGAACAUAGUGUUUCAGAUCACUCAGAAGAAGAGGAAAGUGAACAUGAUGUAGGAUUCGAUCUAUUUGGUAUAUCUGAGUCAGAGCAUGAUGAUGAUGACGAAGAACAUGCAGAAGACGAUGAAGAAACAGGAGACAGCCAUGAAACUGAUCAAGAGGAUGAAAAUGAUGCUGAAUCAGAAAACCAGCCUGAAAGUGAUGCCAAAUCAGAAGAUUUUGGUUUCUAUAAAAGCAUCUACCAAAGCAUUUAUAAGACUCAAGGAGAUGAUGAUGCUGGAGUAGAAGAAAAUGAACCUGAAGAAGAUCGUGAUGCACCUGAAAAUGAUGAUGACGAAAACGAUGAUGAUGAAGAUGGAGGUGAUGAUAAUGAUGAUGAUGAUGACGAUAAUGACGAUGAUGACAAAAAUGAUGAUGAGCAGGAAGAUAAUGAAGUGGAUGAAAACGAUCUAUUUGGUGAAAAAGACGAGGAUGAAUACUACAGGAGCAAUGAAGCCGAGAAACAAGAUGAGGCUAGUGCGGAAGAAGAAGAUGAUGUAAAUGAUGCUAAGGAAGAGGAAGAAGAGGAGGAAGAGGAGGAGAUAAAUUCCACAAAAACAAACCACAGCGAGACAUCGAUGAAGCUGAUGAAAAAGAAGAUGACAGUGAUGAUAACGAAAUUAUCAGACAGAUUCUGGCCAGAUCGCAGGAGCGGAAAACAAGAUUUGAACCACGUAAGGUCAUGUUCAGAGUGUUUCGUAUUUGUGGUUUUUUGAGAUUUUGUUUUUCCAGAGUGAAAUUCUCAGCAGAAGAGUUUACCACCUUCGAAGGUGGCAGCAUGCUCUUUACUUUUAACAAUAUAUAAAUUGGUUCUCCUAACCACCCCAGCAGACGGAUGAAAUAAUUUUGGAAUGUAUGAAAAUAACAAUAUUUGAAUUUGAGUGCUUUCUUUCUCGGAAUAAGGAGAAGUUUAGUAGCAACAGAAAAGCAGUAGAGCAGACAUUGAACAUUGUUAACAAAUCAAACUUACUAUAUUCGAAAGGACUAUCAGUCAAACUUUAAAAUUUUAAGUUUCUUAUGAUAAAAUAAUGUUUCACCUGUGUAGUCUAAGCUUGUGAUUACCUCAAUACUCUGCUCUUAAUUUAGGUAUUAACAAGUUUUUUGAGUGAAAAAAUAUUUUUUCUAUCCAAAAAAUUACGAGCAAUGCAAAUAAUUACUGUGAUUUUUACCAUCCUUGCCCUCCAAUUCAUUGUUUUCAACAUUACAUAUUCAUUGCGCUUAAAUUUACUCUUGGAUGGUCUGCCUAUCGUUUACCUCGGUUUUUUUUCAGUUUAAAUUUGAUUUUUUCUGAGGUCCUUUUUGUAUGAUUUGGUCUAUAUUUUCCACCUAGAACAAAACUUGAGUGAUUUUUUUCCGGAAAACUUAACGUUACAAGAAGAGGUUUGCCUCUGUAGGUAUUGUUGUUCCCCUUUUCAUUCUUUUUUUUUUUUUUGCUCGAUUUUGGUUGAUUUUGUUUUACUUUCCCCUCAGAUUUACAUCUCCCUUUGACUUUCUUUUUUGCAUCCAAAAUUACUCCUUUUUCCCACCUCUCUCCUGCAGCUGAUAACAAUAUUUUUUUUCUCUCUUUCUCUUUCUUGUUUGCUUUUUAAAAAAGCGUUACUUUUAAAUCGUUCUGUCAUCAUCAUUAUUUCUAUUUCUCAAAUUUCAUUUAACUUUUGCUCAACAUUUUUCUGCGCAUAUAUUUACUGAACAUGUAAAGUGAAAGUUUUAAUGUGGUUUAAGAAGAAUCAACUUUUAGAAAGAGGUUCAAGUUUUUCCAAGAAAUCACAGGGUGUCACUUUUAAAUUAUGAGAAAUUAUAAAACCUCCAAAUUUGUGAUUGAUAGCCUUCUUUUAUUUUAACCACCUAAUUUUUCAAAACUACUUUUGUAAAUUUUGCUGCGCCUCAAUAACGCCUAUUUUCUCAGUUACCAAAAAAGUGUCUGUUAAUUGGAAGGUGAGGGCCCCUCUUUUGCUUUACAUUGUUACCAUCAAGGCCACGGAGGUUACUCCCCUCCCACAUACCUCCAAAACUUUGGGAAUUUUGGAGGGAAACAUCCGCUAAAGGCCCUAAAAUUUUUUAUAUCUGAUGGUAGAUAUACCCAAACCGUUUUUGUCAAAAUUCUCUUUUCAUAUUAUUGUCUCAUCUAUUUAAAUGUCAAUAUUUUACUUAAUAAAGCAAGUGGAAGUUGUUAUGAAAGUUUUAACUAUUUUAAAUUUUAAGUUAUUCACAGUCAAGCUUUGUGACAGCAACGAAAGGCUGAUUUUAAGUUUUUGUGGUGUAUUUUUCUGUGGAUUGUCCCAAAGUAGUCACACUUGCAUUUUUCUGUUUCUAGAGAAAGACAAGCCGUAUGAAACGAAGCAG